rnacentral:rRNA from 1 species
AUUGAACGCUGGCGGCAUGCUUUACACAUGCAAGUCGAACGGUAACAGGCCGCAAGGUGCUGACGAGUGGCGAACGGGUGAGUAAUGCAUCGGAACGUGCCCAGUCGUGGGGGAUAACUAUCCGAAAGGAUAGCUAAUACCGCAUACGAUCUGCGGAUGAAAGCGGGGGACCUUCGGGCCUCGCGCGAUUGGAGCGGCCGAUGUCAGAUUAGGUAGUUGGUGGGGUAAAGGCUCACCAAGCCAACGAUCUGUAGCUGGUCUGAGAGGACGACCAGCCACACUGGGACUGAGACACGGCCCAGACGCCUACGGGAGGCAGCAGUGGGGAAUAUUGGACAAUGGGCGAAAGCCUGACGCAGCGACGCCGCGUGGGGGAAGAAGGCCUUCGGGUUGUAAACCUCUUUCAGCAGGGACGAAGCCACUCGGGUGAAUAGCCCAGAGGGUGACGGUACCUGCAGAAGAAGCCCCGGCUAACUACGUGCCAGCCGCCGCCGUAAUAC